UUUCCUUUGAAGACCACCUGGCUACCAAUAACGGUCUCACCAGCCAAAUCCUGUAUUUGUGGGCCAAGACAGAAGAAGAACAACAAUGAAAAAAAGCUGGAAAUCUUAGAGCAGACUCACAUCUUAACUAGGAGAAUACGUGCUGGCCCAAGUGCCCCAGGACUGAAGCAAAUCAGACAUAGGGGAGGAGGGAGAAUGUUAGAAUGAGGCACACCUGAUUCAGCCGCUAAAUAGUCUGGUUGGCUAAGAAUCACAAUCGAGGCAUUUUGCCUUUCUAGUUUUCUUUGGUGAAGAUCUGUGAGCAUCCAAAUGAUAUGAAGAGCAAUAUGGCUAAUCUGCACUACUUCGGAAGCCUGGGAGGAAUACUUCCUCUUUGCUGGAUGUGGCGUCUGCGUGUACCAUCUGGAAUUGCUGUAGCCAACUUACAAAUACAGACGAAAGCUUUAUCAACCUGCUGAGCACAGCAGAAUGGAAAGAUGCAAAGCACCCUGCUCUUGGGAACUGGCCACCUUCAGACUUCUUGCUACAUCAGGUUUUAUCUACUACAAAGGAUAUCACUUGGGAAGGAAUUUCUUGAAACUGCUCCCAAGAGAGCCAUUGGACCAUGUGGUAAACAACUCCUAGCUGAUGGAUUAUUGGGAAAGCCUCCAGAAGGGCUGGAGACUAAAGGUAUCAUCUCGACCUCUGGAGAGGCUGGAAACUAAAGGAAUAUUAACAUCAUCCAGAAUGCUAUGGGGAGAAGACAACUGGAAGCUCCGUGUGGACAAACCUCCUGGACUCUGCCCCACAUAUCUCUUCCCUUGGCUGAUUUGAAUUUUUAGAAGCUGACAGCUGACACGCCCUUCCUUUGUGCAUUUUAUCCUGGGACAAAAUGAGAAGACAUCCUUCAGUUCCCCUCAUCAACAAGAAUUUACCAAGAAGAAUUCUCCAAUGCCAGUGAGAUUCUGAAAUCUCAUAGUUGUACUCAAUUAUAAAUUACUUAUUCACAUGAUCCAGGUUUUACAUGGGUUAAUUUUUUUAGAUAAUCAUCAGAAUGAAAACAUGACAUUUAAAAAAGCACAAAUAAGACUACAAAGAUUGUUACAUGUUCUCAGGAUCCCUGAGUCCAGGUUGAGAAAUGCUCUUUUAAAGACGCCCAGGCACAUGCAUUUUGGUUUAACAAUACUUGAUCUACUAAUAGUUCUCAUCAUGCAGUAAUUUAAGUAUUUGGUUGUAUUUUUGUAAGAAUUAAUAAAAUGUUAUA
rnacentral:lncRNA from 10 species